GCGAUGAGCUAAUUUGCAUAAGCCAACGGAUUUACCUUCGGGUUAAACGUACGAAUGUGGUCGUGCGGUCCAUUGCCGCAAACGCAUCAAAGACGCCUGUUUCUAACAGGCGUC
rnacentral:sRNA from 1 species